rnacentral:misc_RNA from 1 species
GAUGAAGAACGCAGCGAAAUGCGAUAAGUAGUGUGAAUUGCAGAAGUACCGUGAAUCAUCGAAUCUUUGAACGCAAAUUGCACUCUCUGGUAUUCCGGGGAGUAUGCCUGUUUGAGGGUCGCUUAACAAACCAUCGAUUUCGUUGCUUUUUUUUUAAAAAGUGAUGUUUAUCGGAUUUGAGCCGUCUUUUUUUUUUAUAUUUAAGUGGCUUAAAAUUGAUUUUUUUGGUACGAUCGAAGCGUAUUUUUAUGAUCAAUUUUUGGUUAAAGAAACGCACACGUACCGUUAUUUAUAUGAUGUAAUACGUUUGACUAUUGGAUUUAGUUCAUUCGUAUACGAUAUUUUUCAAUAUUUGACCUCAAAUCAGGUAAGAACACCCGCUGAACUUAAGCAUACAAUAAGCGGAGGA